rnacentral:rRNA from 1 species
AACGCGAAGAACCUUACCUGGGCUCGAAAUGCAGUGGACCGGGGUAGAAAUAUCCCUUCCCCUUAAAAGGCUGCUGCAUAGGUGCUGCAUGGCUGUCGUCAGCUCGUGUCGUGAGAUGUUGGGUUAAGUCCCGCAACGAGCGCAACCCUUAUUGCCAGUUGCCAUCGGGUCAAGCCGGGCACUCUGGCGAAACCGCCCUAGAUAAUGGGGAGGAAGGUGGGGAUGACGUCAAGUCCUCAUGGCCUUUAUGUCCAGGGCUACACACGUGCUACAAUGGCCGGUACAAACCGUCGCAAACCCGCGAGGGGGAGCUAAUCGGAAAAAGCCGGCCUCAGUUCGGAUUGGAGUCUGCAACUCGACUCCAUGAAGCUGGAAUCGCUAGUAAUCGCAGAUCAGAACGCUGCGGUGAAUACGUUCCCGGGCCUUGUACACACCGCUAGUC